rnacentral:misc_RNA from 1 species
GUGAAUCAUCAAAUUUUUGAACGCAAAUUGCGCCUUUUUCGGAAGGCAUGUCUGUUUGAGGGCACCAUUUAACAAAUAAUGUGCAUUUCGUGUGCACACGCUGAUGAGCUUUCCAAAUUUAUGUAUUAUUUUUGGUGCGCAUUAUAAAAAGCGGGGAGGUUUUUUUUAGUUCGGGGGUAAUA